rnacentral:rRNA from 1 species
AACGAACGCUGGCGGCAUGCCUAACACAUGCAAGUCGAACGAAGCCUUCGGGCUUAGUGGCGCACGGGUGCGUAACACGUGGGAAUCUGCCCUUCGGUUCGGAAUAACAGUUAGAAUGACUGCUAAUACCGGAUGAUGACGAAAGUCCAAAGAUUUAUCGCCGAAGGAUGAGCCCGCGUAGGAUUAGGUAGUUGGUAGGGUAAUGGCCUACCAAGCCGACGAUCCUUAGCUGGUCUGAGAGGAUGAUCAGCCACACUGGGACUGAGACACGGCCCAGACUCCUACGGGAGGCAGCAGUGGGGAAUAUUGGACAAUGGGCGAAAGCCUGAUCCAGCAAUGCCGCGUGAGUGAUGAAGGCCUUAGGGUUGUAAAGCUCUUUUACCAGGGAUGAUAAUGACAGUACCUGGAGAAUAAGCUCCGGCUAACUCCGUGCCAGCAGCCGCGGUAAU